rnacentral:rRNA from 1 species
AGCGAACGCUGGCGGCAGGCCUAACACAUGCAAGUCGAACGAAGUCUUCGGACUUAGUGGCGGACGGGUGAGCAACACGUGGGAACGUGCCUUUAGGUUCGGAAUAACUCAGGGAAACUUGUGCUAAUACCGAAUGUGCCCUUCGGGGGAAAGAUUUAUCGCCUUUAGAGCGGCCCGCGUCUGAUUAGCUUGUUGGUGAGGUAAAGGCUCACCAAGGCGACGAUCAGUAGCUGGUCUGAGAGGAUGAUCAGCCACAUUGGGACUGAGACACGGCCCAAACUCCUACGGGAUGCAGCAGUGGGGAAGCUUGCGCAAUGGGCGAAAGCCUGACGCAGCCAUGCCGCGUGAAUGAUGAAGGUCUUAGGAUUGUAAAAUUCUUUCACCGGUGACGAUAAUGACGGUACCCGGAGAAGAAGCCCCGGCUAACUUCGUGCCAGCCGCCGCCGUAA